rnacentral:RNase_P_RNA from 1 species
GAGGAAAGUCCAUGCUCACACGGCUCUGAGAUGACCGUAGUGUUCGUGCUACCUGAAAAAAUAAGGGUAGGCAAAGGAAACUUUGACGGCGGAAGGAAUACCUAAGUCUUUUGAUAUGGUAGACACUUCCUGAAAGUGCCACAGUGACGAAGCUUGCUUGGAAACUUGCAAGGUGGAACGAGGUAAACCCCACGAGUGAGAAACCCAAAUUAUGGUAGGGGAACCGUCCCGAAGGAAUUGAACGGAGGGAGGGACGUUUUAGCUUGCUAAAGCGUAGAUAGAUGAUUACUACCUAGUCGUACGAGGGGAAACCCGUUUGAGUACUUAGGAACAGAACAUG